rnacentral:rRNA from 1 species
UACGGAGGGUGCAAGCGUUGUCCGGAAUCACUGGGCGUAAAGAGCGUGUAGGCGGCUCGGUAAGUCCGCUGUGAAAGUCCAGGGCUCAACCCUGGAAUGCCAGUGGAAACUGUCGAGCUAGAGUCCGGAAGAGGCGAGUGGAAUUCCUGGUGUAGCGGUGAAAUGCGCAGAUAUCAGGAGGAACACCAAUGGCGAAGGCAGCUCGCUGGGACGGUACUGACGCUGAGACGCGAAAGCGUGGGGAGCAAACAGG